GAGGAAAGUCCGGGCUCCAUAGGGCAGAGUGCCAGGUAACUCCUGGGAGGUGUGAGCCUACGGAAAGUGCCACAGAAAAUAUACCGCCCACUUUUCCUUUGGGAAUCGUAGGUAAGGGUGAAAUGGUGCGGUAAGAGCGCACCGCGCGAUUGGUAACAGUCGUGGCAGGGAAAACCCCACUCGGAGCAAGACCAAAUAGGAAUCC
rnacentral:misc_RNA from 2 species